AUUGAACGCUGGCGGCAGGCCUAACACAUGCAAGUCGAGCGGAUGAGAGGAGCUUGCUUCUCGAUUCAGCGGCGGACGGGUGAGUAAUGCCUAGGAAUCUGCCUGGUAGUGGGGGAUAACGUUUCGAAAGGAACGCUAAUACCGCAUACGUCCUACGGGAGAAAGCAGGGGACCUUCGGGCCUUGCGCUAUCAGAUGAGCCGAGGUCGGAUUAGCUAGUUGGUGAGGUAAUGGCUCACCAAGGCGACGAUCCGUAACUGGUCUGAGAGGAUGAUCAGUCACACUGGAACUGAGACACGGUCCAGACUCCUACGGGAGGCAGCAGUGGGGAAUAUUGGACAAUGGGCGAAAGCCUGAUCCAGCCAUGCCGCGUGUGUGAAGAAGGUCUUCGGAUUGUAAAGCACUUUAAGUUGGGAGGAAGGGUUGUAGAUUAAUACUCUGCAAUUUUGACGUUACCGACAGAAUAAGCACCGGCUAACUCUGUGCCAGCCGCCGCGUAAGAC
rnacentral:rRNA from 1 species